CACUCAUACUGACCGACAACGCCCAACAGGCAGUAGAACCAGAAAGCGAUUACGAUUGGCGUCAUUGUUUGGAAAAUGAUGUAUGUUGAUGCAUGUAUAUGAUUCGUGCAAACAUUGACUGAUGUGGGCUGCGAUCCACUUGCUUCUUCCAAAUGCUCUGAACAUUACGCUUCGAUUGGUUCAUUACUGUUCCGAAUGCUACAACUGCAAUGUGAAUGCUUCAACCAAUCCAACUUCUGAGAUGAGACAGUUGGAGCGAAGCGGGAGCAAAAACGAUGACAUAAUUAGAGUUGCUAGGAGCGUUCCGAAACAUCAAGUGAACUAGUCAUGUCAGUGCUACAAAUGCUGCGUAGUGUUUGAAGCGCUAAGUGAACCUCAACCGUAAUGUAUAGGUUAAAUAAAAGUAAGUCAAUAAAAACAAAUCUGUUCAAAACUAUUA